AGCGAACGCUGGCGGCAGGCCUAACACAUGCAAGUCGAACGAAGUGGCGGACGGGUGAGUAACACGUGAGAACGUGCCCUUUGGUACGGAAUAACUCAGGGAAACUUGAGCUAAUACCGAAUGCCAUUGGAGCGGCCCGCGUGUGAGUAGCUAGUUGGUGGUGUAAUGGACCACCAAGGGGACGAUCCGUAGCUGGUCUGCGAGGAUGAUCAGCCACAGUGGGGCUGAGCCACGGCCCAAACUCCUACGGGAUGGAGCAGUGGGGAAGCUAGCGCAGUGGGGGAAAUGAUGACGCAGCCAUGCCGGGUGAAUGAUGAAGGUCUUAGGGUUGUAAAAUUCUUUCACCGGGGACGCGGUACCCGGAGAAGAAGCCCCGGCUAACUUCGUGCCAGCAGCCGCGGUAAUUC
rnacentral:rRNA from 1 species